UUGCGCCUACGGGGCGCAGCAGUGGGGGAUAUUGCACAAUGGGGGGAACCCUGAUGCAGCGACGCCGCGUGGGUGAAGGAGUAUUUCGGUAUGUAAAGCCCUAUCGGCAGGGAAGAAGCAAGACGGUACCUGACUAAGAAGCCCCGGCUAACUACGUGCCAGCAGCCGCGGUAAUACGUAGGGGGCGAGCGUUAUCCGGAUUCACUGGGUGUAAAGGGAGCGUAGACGGCCAUGCAAGCCAGGGGUGAAAGACCGGGGGCCAAACCCGGGACUGCCCUUGGAACUGCAUGGCUGGAGUGGGGGAG
rnacentral:rRNA from 1 species